GGAAGUAAAAUCGUAACAAGGUUUCCGUAGGUGAACCUGCGGAAGGAUCAUUAAUGAGUUGUCAUGGGGUUCGAUGCUGGCAGCCAAUUUUUGGAUGCAUGUGCUUGCCCUAACAAUCAUCUUCCAAACACCUGUGCACAUUUUUGAGGGAGUCUUGAGUUGGUUGCCGCUCUUGGGUGAUUUUCUCACAUUCCCUUAAAUCAUUAUACGCUAUUAACAAUGUUGAACGUGCUCUGUGCCGCAAGGCUAUUAAUAUAAUACAACUUUUAACAACGGAUCUCUUGGCUCUC
rnacentral:misc_RNA from 1 species